rnacentral:rRNA from 1 species
GACGUAGGGCGCGAGCGUUGUCCGGAUUUAUUGGGCGUAAAGAGCUCGUAGGCGGUUCGUCGCGUCGGCUGUGAAAUCCCGGAGCUCAACUCCGGGUCUGCAGUCGAUACGGGCGGACUUGAGUACUGCAGGGGAGACUGGAAUUCCUGGUGUAGCGGUGAAAUGCGCAGAUAUCAGGAGGAACACCGGUGGCGAAGGCGGGUCUCUGGGCAGUAACUGACGCUGAGGAGCGAAAGCGUGGGGAGCGAACAGG